UACAUACGAAACGAGUGUGUUUUGGCUCGAAAGACGCUAUCCAACCGAAGCUCGCCUAGAGAGAAGGCGUAGAGAGGGGGAGAGAAAACCUAACCCUAGUUAAAGGUCCAGCAAUGGCAUUGCUCGGAGGAUUGAAUCUCAGGAAAUGUUCUUCCUAGAAGAUUUAAACGAUAAUUUUAGUGAAGCGAAUCUGAUUGGGAAAACCCAAUUUGGCAGUGUUCGGAGGAAAGACUCAACAAGGUCAAGAUGUGAUUGUGAAGAUUUGGGAAGAUGUAGGAAUCUUUUUUGUUGGCAAGAAUGCAAAUCUCACCCAAUAUAUGGCAGAAUGUACUUUUCUAAAAGAGCCAAGUUGAUGGGAUGCUUCAGUGGAGAUAGUCUUUUGGGUGCUGUUUAUGACCUUAAACCAUUGGAUACGGUGCGCCAUCUCAUUGUCAAAGGUAGAUUUUUUUUAAUUUUUUGUUACAAUGAGAUUUUAUCUUAGCUAUGUCAAUUUGUUGUGUAUACAGAUCAAUCUUUUCAGUUUAUGUUUGGAGCAUUUUCGCGGGGGCAAACGAAUGCUUGCAAAAUAACAUCUAUAAUCGCAAUACCUACUAAUUAUGCUGUAACUUUGCCUUGCAGUCCACACCCUAUUAAUCUAAACUGGGUCUUAAGCUGAUCAGAUUAGCAGUUCAUUUGUUUAAUUUUGCACCUUAUUAGAUAUAUUUCUUUCUAAAUCUAUUUAUUCUUUGAAUAAGAAAAUUUCUGCUUCCUUUGGAGUUGCUGCAACUAAUACAAGCCGUGGUUGUUAUUGGUUGCAGGAAUGCAUAAUUAAGGCAGUUUCUUGGUUUCUGUUAUUUAUCAACAAAUUUUUUUUUUUUUAGGAUGCAUAUAAUUUUUCCAGGCUCCAAAGAAUCAAGGUGGCAAUUGGAUUUGCACGCAGGCUUGAGUUUUUGCAUGGUCAAUCACAAUAUUACGUUGUUCGCAAUAUUGAUACUGCACAUAUAAUGCUUUGUGAUACCCCUUAAUUCUAGAGCCACGGGUGAUCUAGUCCGAGCACAGAAUACAAAGGAUAUCAAACAAUUAAUAUUUAAACAAGCAUUUGAAUACAAAAAGAAUAAUAAAGAAUAAAUAAAUAAUAAGCUGAAGGAAACUAAAUAAUAAAUCCCUAUUUUAAAAUCCUCAAAUAAAUAAUAAUUAAAAAUCCAAUAAUAAAAUCCUCCAAUCUUCGGAUACUAGUAACUAAUUAAACUACAACUCGGGAAUCCAUCCUGUGGACCCCUAAUAAUAU